GGUCAUAGCUCAGUGGUAGAGUGCUUGCCUAGCAUGUAUGAAGCACAGGGUUUGAUUCUCAGCACCA
rnacentral:tRNA from 1 species